rnacentral:rRNA from 1 species
GCUCAAAUUUGAAAUCUGGCUCUUUAGAGUCCGAGUUGUAAUUUGCAGAGGGCGCUUUGGCUUUGGCAGCGGUCCAAGUUCCUUGGAACAGGACGUCACAGAGGGUGAGAAUCCCGUACGUGGUCGCUGGCUAUUGCCGUGUAAAGCCCCUUCGACGAGUCGAGUUGUUUGGGAAUGCAGCUCUAAAUGGGAGGUACAUUUCUUCUAAAGCUAAAUAUUGGCCAGAGACCGAUAGCGCACAAGUAGAGUGAUCGAAAGAUGAAAAGCACUUUGGAAAGAGAGUCAAACAGCACGUGAAAUUGUUGAAAGGGAAGCGCUUGCAGCCAGACUUGCUUACAGUUGCUCAUCCGGGUUUCUACCCGGUGCACUCUUCUGUAGGCAGGCCAGCAUCAGUUUGGGCGGUAGGAUAAAGGUCUCUGUCACGUACCUCCUUUCGGGGAGGCCUUAUAGGGGAGACGACAUACUACCAGCCUGGACUGAGGUCCGCGCAUCUGCUAGGAUGCUGGCGUAAUGGCUGUAAGCGGCCCGUCUUGAAACACGGACCAAGGAGUCUAACAUCUAUGCGAGUGUUUGGGUGUCAAGCCCGAGCGCGUAAUGAAAGUGAACGGAGGUGGGAACCCGCAAGGGUGCACCAUCGACCGAUCCUGAUGUCUUCGGAAGGAUUUGAGUAAGAGCAUGGCUGUUGGGACCCGAAAGAUGGUGAACUAUGCUUGAAUAGGGUGAAGCCAGAGGAAACUCUGGUGGAGGCUCGCAGCGGUUCUGACGUGCAAAUCGAUCGUCAAAUUU